rnacentral:miRNA from 12 species
ACUCACGAAGUGGUUGUAGUA